rnacentral:rRNA from 1 species
AGAGUUGAUCCUGGCUCAGGACGAACGCUGGCGGCAUGCCUAAUACAUGCAAGUCGAACGAACUUUCAGGGAGCUUGCUCCCUGAAAGUGAGUGGCGAACGGGUGAGUAACACGUGGGAAACCUGCCCAUAAGUGGGGGAUAACAUUCGGAAACGGAUGCUAAUACCGCAUAUGUCCUGUCUCCGCAUGGAGACGGGAUAAAAGACGGCUCUGCUGUCGCUUAUGGAUGGUCCCGCGGCGUAUUAGCUAGUUGGUGGGGUAAAGGCUCACCAAGGCGAUGAUACGUAGCCGACCUGAGAGGGUGAUCGGCCACACUGGGACUGAGACACGGCCCAGACUCCUACGGGAGGCAGCAGUAGGGAAUCUUCCGCAAUGGACGAAAGUCUGACGGAGCAAUGCCGCGUGAGUGAAGAAGGUUUUCGGAUCGUAAAGCUCUGUUAUCAGGGAAGAACAAGGACCGGAGUAACUGCCGGUCCCUUGACGGUACCUGACCAGAAAGCCACGGCUAACUACGUGCCAGCAGCCGCGGUAAUACGUAGGUGGCAAGCGUUGUCCGGAUUUAUUGGGCGUAAAGCGAGCGCAGGCGGUUCUUUAAGUCUGAUGUGAAAGCCCACGGCUUAACCGUGGAGGGUCAUUGGAAACUGGGGAACUUGAAUGCAGAAGAGGAAAGUGGAAUUCCAUGUGUAGCGGUGAAAUGCGUAGA